AGCGAACGCUGGCGGCAGGCUUAACACAUGCAAGUCGAGCGGGCACUUUCGGGUGUCAGCGGCGGACGGGUGAGUAACGCGUGGGAACGUGCCCUCUGGUUCGGAAUAACUCAGGGAAACUUGAGCUAAUACCGGAUACGCCCUUUUGGGGAAAGGCUUGCUGCCGGAGGAUCGGCCCGCGUCUGAUUAGCUAGUUGGUGAGGUAACGGCUCACCAAGGCGACGAUCAGUAGCUGGUCUGAGAGGAUGAUCAGCCACACUGGGACUGAGACACGGCCCAGACUCCUACGGGAGGCAGCAGUGGGGAAUAUUGGACAAUGGGCGCAAGCCUGAUCCAGCCAUGCCGCGUGAGUGAUGAAGGCCUUAGGGUUGUAAAGCUCUUUUAUCCGGGACGAUAAUAACGGUACCGGAGGAAUAAGCCCCGGCUAACUUCGU
rnacentral:rRNA from 1 species